rnacentral:tRNA from 1 species
GGGCUCGUGGCGGAAUUGGCAGACGCGCAAGGUUGAGGGCCUUGUGCCCGCAAGGGCGUGCUGGUUCGACUCCAGUCGGGCCCAC